CAGGCCUAACACAUGCAAGUCGAACGCCCCGCAAGGGGAGUGGCAGACGGGUGAGUAACACGUGGGAACGUACCCUUUGGUUCGGAACAACCCUGGGAAACUAGGGCUAAUACCGGAUACGCGCGAGAGCGGAAAGGUUUACCGCCGAAGGAUCGGCCCGCGUAUGAUUAGCUAGUUGGUGAGGUAACGGCGCACCAAGGCGACGAUCAGUAGCUGGGCUGAGAGGAUGAUCAGCCACAUUGGGACUGAGACACGGCCCACACGCCUACGGGAGGCAGCAUAAGGGAAGAUUGGGCAAUGGGCGAGAGCCUGACCCAGCCAUGCCGCGUGCAGGAAGAAGGCUUGAUGAGGAGGAAACUGCUUUUGACAGGGAAGAAAGAGCGCGACGUGGAGCGUGAUGACGGAACCUGCAGAAGAAGCACCGGCGAACGCCGUGCCAGCUACCGCGG
rnacentral:rRNA from 1 species